rnacentral:rRNA from 1 species
UACGUAGGGGGCAAGCGUUGUCCGGAAUCAUUGGGCGUAAAGAGCGUGUAGGCGGCCCGAUAAGUCCGCUGUGAAAGUCCAGGGCUCAACCCUGGAAUGCCGGUGGAUACUGUCGGGCUCGAAUCCGGAAGAGGUGGAGUGGAAUUCCGUGGUGUAGCGGUGAAAUGCGCAGAGUAUCAGGAGGAACACCAAUGGCGAAGGCAGCUCACUGGGACGGUAUUGACGCUGGAGACGCGAAAGCGGUGGGAGCAAACAGG